AACGAACGCUGGCGGCAUGCCUAACACAUGCAAGUCGAACGAGACCUUCGGGUCUAGUGGCGCACGGGUGCGUAACGCGUGGGAACCUGCCCUUAGGUUCGGAAUAACUCCCCGAAAGGGGUGCUAAUACCGGAUAAUGUCUUCGGACCAAAGAUUUAUCGCCUUUGGAUGGGCCCGCGUUGGAUUAGCUAGUUGGUAGGGUAAAAGCCUACCAAGGCGACGAUCCAUAGCUGGUCUGAGAGGAUGAUCAGCCACACUGGGACUGAGACACGGCCCAGACUCCUACGGGAGGCAGCAGUGGGGAAUAUUGGACAAUGGGCGAAAGCUUGAUCCAGCAAUGCCGCGUGAGUGAUGAAGGCCUUAGGGUUGUAAAGCUCUUUUACCCGGGAUGAUAAUGACAGUACCGGGAGAAUAAGCUCCGGCUAACUCCGU
rnacentral:rRNA from 1 species